GGACUCGGGAGCAGUGAUGUUGAAAUGUGUGAAGUGAUAAUGUGUCAUCGGUGCCAUCUUCUGAAGCCUAUGGUCUUCUUACCUUUUCAUCGCCUAGAUUGUUUUGACACGCUUCUCAUAUUGAAAGCAGAACCAAGAUAGCACACGAGCAAGUAGGAGGAAUUUAUGCCCAGUAUUCUCAAAGUAGACAAACAAGGGUGAGCUGCUUUCCAGUAUGCGGAAUUUCUAAACUACUAUCUGCAGUCAAGUACCACAAGGGCUCUGAGGUAUCUCCUGCCGUAAUUUUACCCACAGACGAUUCUCUUGGAAUUGAAAAACCAGCGAAUCAGUUCAUUCUGAGAAAAACGCGAAAAAUAAGUUUCCGAGAAAUUCAAGCCCUGCACAUUACGCAGCAGACACUUUGAAUAAAAGCAGAUAUUUUCCUUCGACUGUAAAACCAAAUCGUGGCUGAAAAUUCCAUAAAAACAAAGAUUAAAUGAAAGGUGCUAUAUAACUAUAUAAAUCUACAUUUAUAUAAACAUUUUAUAAAGGAAACCCAGGUGGGGAGAAAACAACUAAAUUGGUUUCAAAACGGAGCUUCUUGGCAUCUCUAUCGAGGUAAUUUAUCACCUGGGGUCAUAAUUUCUGACAGGCCGUUAUCAGUUGUUAAUCUGAUGCUGAGAUUCAAUUUCCAUAAUCUGUUGCAUUUGCCUCCGCUUUCGAGAGCACAGCACCGUGUCGGAGGUAUACUGUCUGUUUGAAAGUCCUGAUUUAUCAUAAAAAUUACCUAA